rnacentral:lncRNA from 1 species
UAGAACAGAACUCUGGUUUUCAUUCCAUUCACUUAUUAAAAAAUGUUUUAGAUCCUUUCGUUGUGCAAGUUUUAUGCUUAGAUAGCAUAUCAGGGUAGAAGAUAUAGUUUUGCUUGUGAAAUAUGAAGUGAUGGAAAGAAUACUCAAAGGGGAAAAAUAAAGAACAGGAAAGUCAGCAAGGAGUCAGGGUUCAGAAAGGAUCCUGUAUUAUAAGCAGGCAUGCCCUGCUCUUCUUCUACUCCAAGGUCCAAAAGAGUGAAGAGGGCUCCGACUCUCCAUGCGGUGGCAGCUUAGCAUUUGAGAGGCUGUGGGGAGAGAUGUAGGUGCAGAAGUGAGCAGAAGUCAAAUGAUGAAGCCCCUUAUGGGGUGAAUAUCACAAUGACCUAUCCCAGCGUGAGUGAGGCUCUAUUGGACAGGGAUGGAGAGAAAUUUGAGGGGUGGUCAAGUUCUUUUUCAUCGUAAUUACCACUUGCCUGUUUAUGGGUGGCAUCUAGCAGUGGUGUCAAUUAAGGUCAGAGCAGUGAACAAUUUGCACUUGUCACACUGUUCCUCCGUUUGAACCUCAAAGGCAGCAGAACAAUGACAGUCAUCAAGUUCAAGGUAAACUUUCACUGAGGGACAGCAUGACUCCUGACAAAACACUCCUUGAGGAUAUGGGCUUUGGAAAAUUUGUUUGCUGCCUAAUUGUUUUGAUAGGAACACCAUUGAUUCCCCAUCACCAGUUAGGUUCACCAUUGAUUUCCCAUUGGGCAUGUGCACAGAGAAACAAGUCUUGCAUUCUUCCCUCAUGGGGAAGAAAACUGAAAUACCAGGAGCUUGGAUCAUAUCUUCCAUUCAAUUUUGAAAACAUGUUUGGAUCACAUCAAUUCUGAGAGACCGUGUUUGAAAUCAUUGCCCUUAUGGUAUUUUUAUUGCAUAAAAUGAUCCAAAAUAAAGAGCUGUAAAUUUGAUUUUUCUGAGUUUGGGGGGCUGCACCUGUGGUAUGCAGAAGUUAACAAGCCAGGGAUCAAACCUGCGCCAGAGCAGUGACCUGAGCCACAACAGUGACAACCCUAGAUCCUUAACCCACUAGGCCACCUGGGAACUUGCCUAAAUUUAAUUUGCUGAAUAGUACAUCUAAGCUAUUAAAGAAUUAAGUCAUUUUUUUCCUCUUGAAUUUUUUACAAGCAGUAUUGAACUGUGGUCAUUAUUGAACUAACGGCAGUCAGUUUUCUUGCCUUUGACAUCAUCCAUCUGACACUUCUCAAAUACAGAGACUGCUGUAAAGACUCAGGAUCUGAACUUAAACAGAGGAUUCUUUGUUGUUAGCUUUAUAUCUUUUCUAUCACCAAUGAAUGAUAACACCAUCUCACCAUGGUCAGGGUCAUCUGUUUAUUUUCUUAUCCCAGUUCAGAUGACUAAAAGCACAACAAAUGAUUAUUAAUGAUAGCACAACAACUCUAAAAAUAACUGAGCCCUAGCUACUCCCUUUUUGACUCAUCCCCCCAAAUUCACCUGUCUAUGUGAUAAAUGAUUCAUGUGAGGGUCCAAAGUCAGUCUUCAGGAUAUAAGCCCACCCUUUAGGUAAAAAGAUUCUAUAACAGAGAAAGAACUGAAAGGCAAAACAAACAUGUACUUAUAAAAAUUUCUUUCAUGUAUUUAAUUUUCAUAAGUCAUAAAUACAUAUCUGGUAUAAGAUUGACAUGUACUCUGAACUAUGGGCAAUGGGGACAAUAAAAAAAUCAAAAUUUCUGUCUCCUUUAAAUCUUAUCAAAUGCUUAUUAUUUAAUUAUCUCAUUUAAUCUUGUCAACAGUACUGUGUGACUGAUACUGUAAACCUGUCCAUCAAGUUUGGAGAUGGUUAGAUGGCUAUUCAGAGAGGCAAACGGGGUUCCCCAGGGGAAGGAUCUGAGUGAAGGCAGUACCCUUUCACGCCAGCGUUCCCUGUGCUCUUUCAUCACAGCAGUCCGCCUCCAACAUUUAGAGAGGUAGUUUUUGUGAAACGUAACAUUCUUCUUUCUAUAAACUACUGUAUUAGUUUCCUAGGGCCUCCCUAGCAAAUUACUAUGAACUAGGUGACUUAAAGCAACUGAAAUUUAUAAUCCUUCAGUUUUGCAGGCUACAUGUCCAAGUCAAGGUGUUGGUGUGAUGAGGGGUCCUUUGCAGGGUGUGGGGAAGCAUCCUUCCUUGCCUCGUCCAACUUCCCCACGGCUCCUGGUAUUCCAUGGUUUGUGGCAGCUCAACUCCAUUCUCUGCCUCUGUCUUCACACGGCUUCUUCCCUGUAUGUCCAUGUGUCCUUUUGUCUCUCUUGUAAAGACAUUCUCGGGGAGUUCCCGUCGUGGCUCAGUGGUUAACGAAUCUGACUAGGAAGCAUGAGGUUGAGGGUUCGAUCCCUGCCCUUGCUCAGUGGGUUAAGGAUCCGGCGUUGCCGUGAGCUAUGGUGUAGGUCACAGACGCGGCUCGGAUCCUGCGUUGCUGUGGCUCUGGCAUAGGCUGACAGCUACAGCUCCGAUUAGACCCCUAGCCUGGGAACCUCCCAUAUGCCGCGGGAGCAGCCCAAGAAAUGGCAAAAAGACAAAAAAAAAAAAAGACAUUCUCAUCAAUUCAGCAUCUCCUCUAAUCCAGUAUGAUCUCCCCUUGGUCUUUUCAUUAAUUAACACCUGCAAAGAUCCUAUUUCCAAAUAGAGUUAUGUUCUCAGGUUCCGAGUGUACAUAAAUCUGGGGGGAGGGCAUUAUUCAACCCAUUACAAUUGUAAUUCUUAUUUCUAUUACAAUAGGAAAAUUAGAGUAUUGAUGAACAUUAAUAUCAAAUAAUAAACAUGAUUUAAGUCUUGCUAUUUUUGAUGGUCAAUUGAUUGCCCAAAGUUUAAAAUUUGGGGCUCUUCAUGAACUCCAGAUCAUGUGUGCUUUGAAUCUCUAUUUUACCAAAAAGUAGCAUAAUACUAUCUCACUAGUGCUUAUGGUGUAAUAUUUUUUUUUCUUUUUGCUUUUUAGGGCUGCACCCAUGGCAUAUGGAGGUUCCCAGGCUAGGGGUUGAAUCCGAGCUGUAGCCUCUGGGCUUUGCCAUAGCCACAGCAACAUCAAAUCCAAGCCAUGUCUGUGAGCUGCAUGGCUACACCAUAGCUCAGGGCCGCGCUGGAUCCUUAACCCAUUGAGCAAGUCCAGGGAUCAAACCUGCAUCCUCAUGGAUGCUAGCCAGAUUCCUUUCCACUGAGCCUCAAUGGGAACUCCAUAUUGCCUCUUUUUAUGCUAUGUAUCUUUUUAACAUAUUCCUUGUAUCCUGCUUUAUUCUUAAAAUAUAAAAAUAUAGAUAUUUUAUGUUUUUCAUGGUCUUCAUAAAUAUUUUUGUAGCUGCAUAACAUAUCAGCAAGGGUAGAUUUUAUAUACAAAUUUCCCCAUUGUGGACAUAUAAAUUGUUUCAAAUAUUUUUAGGAUUGUAAAUAAUGCUCAGAUGGAUCAUUUUUCAGUAAAGAUAUCUCCCAAAAGGAAAUAUGCUGCUCUCUAGAUAUAUUUUUAUUAUCUUUUUCUUGUUUAUAUUGAUCUGUAUCAAAAGUUUAAUAUUUUUUACAUUCCUGAAUUAUAUUGCAAAUGUGUUUUCCAAAAUGGUUUGCCAAUUUACAUUUCUGUAUGUAGCAUUCAGUGUCCUCAUUGAACUGAAUCCCUGAGAGCAUUAAAAUUCUAGCAGUAUUAAAAUGUUUUUUCAACCAUUACUAGUUUUGCAAACAAAAAAUAGAAUCUUACUUUACUUUUAAUUAACAUUCCUUUUAGCAAGCAUUUUAAUGUUUUUUAGACAAUAUUUUUUUUUGAGUUGCUUAUUGCUGUUCUGAGAUGAGUUGUAUCCUAAAUUCCUGCGUUGAAGUCCUCACCCCUUAUACCUCAAAAUGUGACUGUAUUUGGAGAUAAGGACUUUAAAGAGAUAGUAAGGGAAAAUGAGGUCAUAUGGGUGGGUCCUAAUUCAAUAUGACUAGUAUCCUUAUACAAAGAGAUUAGGACACAGGAAGCACGAAGACCAAGAGAGAACCAUGUAGGACACAGAAAGAAAGCAUCCAUCUUUACGCAGAGGAGAGAGAUCCCAGAAGAAACCCAACCUGCCAGCAGCUAGAUCUCAGACUUCUGGCUUCUAGAACUGUGAGAUAAUAAAUUUCUGUUCCUUAAACCAUUCAGCCUGUAGUAUUUUGUUAUAGCACCUCUAGCAAAAUAAAACAGUGUUUCUUGCCAAUUUAUUUAUUAGGGUCUUAGAGCGUUUCUUCUUCAUUUGUACAGACUCUUUAAAAAAACUUUUUUUGGAGUAUAGUUAACUUACAAUGUUGUAUUAGUUUCACGUGUACAGCAAAGUCAACCAGUUUAUAUAUAGAGAGAGAGAAAGAGAAAGAGAGGGAGAGAGAAUCUAUUUAUCUAGAGAUCAUAUGAAUUAAUAUACAUAAAUUCAUUCUUUUAUCUGUAUAGCUUAUUACAAGCUAUAGAGUAGAUUUCCCUGUGCUUUGCAGUAGAUUCUUAUUGAGUGAAAUAAAUCAGACGGAGAAGGAUAAAUAUUGUAUGAUAUUGCUUAUAUGUAGAAUCUAAUAAAAAUUAUACAAAAUAACUUAUAAAACAAAACAAACUCACACAUUUCAAAACCAAUCUUAUGGUGACCAUAGGGAAAAUAGAAACAAACUUACAGCUUUCAAAACCACUCCUAUGGUUACCAUAGGGGAAACCAUUGGGGGUGGGGGAGGGGAUUAGGAGAGUGGGAAUAACACAUACAAGCUCUUUUUAUGUUAAACAUAUUUAUGUAUUUAUUGUUUCCUUUUUGCACUUCUUACAAAGUGAUUCUUUGGUUUUUCCAUGUUUUCCUCUUUUUUUAGCUUACAACAUGUGUGUAUUUAAUUUUUUCCCAUAAUUAUUCAUCUUUUCUAUAUGCUUUUCUUCCUGGUACUUCAAAGCCUGAAAAGUCUUUUUCCUUUAAGUGAUUUUAUACACUGUCAGUUCUAGUUUUUGUUAGUUUUUCUGUGACUUGAAGUUGACCUGUAUAAUAUAACUAUUUUCCAUGUUUGAGAAUGCAGACUUACAAAAGUUGGUGAAUUUCAAAUGUACAGAGCAAAGCUUUCUUUAAGAUUUUUAUGUCAUGCCCAGAACCCAGUCUUCUUUAUUUGAAAUGACCUAUUUAAGAUAACAGUUAUUUUCAGUGGCUUUUACUUCAUUUUGAAAACCUGCAUUGUAAAAUGGAACAAUAACCUCAUUUUUUAAAUCUUCAAUUUUGUUAAGAUCAACUGUUAUAAAGACAAAGAACCUCAAGACAAAGAAUGGCUACAGUUCUCUGAAAUCUGUUCAGUGUCUGAAGUUCUACUGAAAUCUUUCAAGUUAAGGACAUGAUGUCUUGUAAGAUGAAAAAAAAUAUUUCCUCCUGCUUUUUCUUGUUUUCAUUUGUGAUUCUGGUGCUAAGAAAAAAUUUAUUCUUUUAUGGAUUGUUUUUUCCAAAGUUUCUGCUUCUUUCUUUUUUUUCCUGUGAAGAUCUUUCUAGAACUUGUUUAGAAAUAUUCAUUGUAUUUCUUUGUUUUUGCUCUCAGGCCCCAUUAAAAAGGCCAUCUCUUCAAGACACUGAUAGUUCUUUUGUUGGUGGUGUUCAUUUCAAAAUAUAAAACUGUCUUGACUUGUGAGCUAAAAUUAUCUGACAAUUAUGGAAUUUAUCCUGAGUUGAACUGUCUUAUGUCAGUGCAGAAUAGUUAAAAAAAAAAAAAAAAAAAAAA